UGGGGUUUAGCUCAGUGGGAGAGGCUUGCCUAGCAUGCAGGAGGUCCUGGGUUCAAUCCCCAGUACUUCCA
rnacentral:tRNA from 1 species